rnacentral:rRNA from 1 species
UACGGGAGGCAGCAGUGGGGAAUAUUGCACAAUGGGCGCAAGCCUGAUGCAGCCAUGCCGCGUGUAUGAAGAAGGCCUUCGGGUUGUAAAGUACUUUCAGUCGUGAGGAAGGUGUUAAGGUUAAUAACCUUAGCAAUUGACGUUAGCGACAGAAGAAGCACCGGCUAACUCCGUGCCAGCAGCCGCGGUAAUACGGAGGGUGCGAGCGUUAAUCGGAAUUACUGGGCGUAAAGGGUACGCAGGCGGUUAAUUAAGUUGGAUGUGAAAUCCCCGGGCUUAACCUGGGAAUGGCAUUCAAGACUGGUUAGCUAGAGUCUUGUAGAGGGGGUAGAAUUCCAUGUGUAGCGGUGAAAUGCGUAGAGAUGUGGAGGAAUACCGGUGGCGAAGGCGGCCCCUGGACAAAGACUGACGCUCAUGUGCGAAAGCGUGGGGAGCAAACAGGGAUUAGAUACC